rnacentral:rRNA from 1 species
GAUCCUGGCUCAGGAUGAACGCUAGCUACAGGCUUAACACAUGCAAGUCGAGGGGCAGCAUGGUCUUAGCUUGCUAAGACUGAUGGCGACCGGCGCACGGGUGAGUAACACGUAUCCAACCUGCCGUCUACUCUUGGACAGCCUUCUGAAGGAAGAUAAUACAAGAAUGGCAUCAUGAGUCCGCAUGUUCACAUGAUUAAAGGUAAUUCCGGUAGACGAUGGG